rnacentral:rRNA from 1 species
AACGAACGCUGGCGGCAGGCUUAACACAUGCAAGUCGAGCGCCCCGCAAGGGGAGCGGCAGACGGGUGAGUAACGCGUGGGAAUCUACCCAUCUCUACGGAAUAACGCAUGGAAACGCGUGCUCAUACCGUAUACGUCCUUCGGGAGAAAGCUUUAUCGGAGAUGGAUGAGCCCGCGUUGGAUUAGCUAGUUGGUGGGGUAAAGGCCUACCAAGGCGACGAUCCAUAGCUGGUCUGAGAGGAUGAUCAGCCACACUGGGACUGAGACACGGCCCAGACUCCUACGGGAGGCAGCAGUGGGGAAUAUUGGACAAUGGGCGCAAGCCUGAUCCAGCCAUGCCGCGUGAGUGAUGAAGGCCCUAGGGUUGUAAAGCUCUUUCACCGGUGAAGAUAAUGACGGUAACCGGAGAAGAAGCCCCGGCUAACUUCGUGCCAGCCGCCGCCGUAAGAC